GCGGAGGAGUUGCUGCGGCGAUGAUGUCCGCCGCAGCAACUCCUCCGCUGACGAAUUUCACGGCCACGACUGCUUCACGGCCUGCGGUCCCCUCGAUCCAGUGUAACUUGCUGUUCUAUGAUAGACAUCACGUUUACUCUCAUAAAAAGUAUUCCAAAAAUGGAAUUACCAUUAAGUAUACAGAUCUCCCCAAGCACAUCAGACCAGAAAAGGGA
rnacentral:misc_RNA from 1 species